AUGGCGGAGCUGCCGGGCCCAGCCCUGGGCAGGAUACGGCGCUCCCGCCCCCCCUUUGUACCCGCCCCUUCCACCCCCCUUUCCGACGCUGUCAUGGAGGAACCGGUAGGGCCUUUUCAUUUGCUCCGAGCCGAGACUGGCCGAUUCCUCUGCUACUGCGGACCCGACGGCACUGUCUUUGUGACCGACGCGAUGGAGGUCUGGGCCGGGGAGCUCGGUGGCUGCCCGGUGCGCGGCUGUCGGUGCUCGCCGGAGGAGCGCGGCGCGAUGCUCAGGGCCGCCCUGGGUCAUGGGGCCGCCGCGCUGAGCCUGGGUCCGGAUUCGGCCAUGCUGCGGCUGCCGGAGGAGCCGCGGUGCCCGGCCCUGGCCCUCGCCCAGCUGCCCGCCGCCGAGGCGCGCAGCCAGUUGCAGGCGCUGAUCUUCGGCAUGGCCGGCUGCAUCGAGAGCCUGGAGAGGCGCCUGGAAGCCCUGAGAAGAACACUGUCCGGAGCCAGCAGCUCUUCCUGCCAGGUAGGCACUGCCAGGGACACCUGCCCUGCUCCCACAGUCUUUUGUCUUCUCCUCCCUGGAAGCUGCUGGUCCCUGUAUCCACGUGCUCUUCAGGACACUCUGAGUGCCCUUGACUGUGGCUGCUGGCAGCCACCCGUUGUCCUGGUGCUCUUCUGUCAGAGCAGGGGCAGUGCUUAAUAUGAUGGCUCUCAGAGUGUCUGGGAUGCUCAGGUCAAAGGCUGGGCAUUGCCAACCUCAGAAGGAGGGCAGACUUUGCUGUGCUUCCAGGCUGGAGGCUGUGGCGGAUCCAUGGUUCCUUUUGGGAGGAGGCCAAGUUUGGCCCUUUCUUGCCCUCUGUGGCUGCUGGUCCUGCCAGGCUGGGCUCCCAGAGGCUCCCCCUGGUCCUGGAGGGACUGGGAGGGCUGCCAGAGCUCCUGGGUAACUUGUAAUCUGUGUACUGCCUGUUCAUGACUGAGGUAGACCCCAGCCCCAGGAAGAGUAGUGCUUCUGGCUCAGCUUUGCCAGCCAAAAGGAAGGUCCAUGGGGAGUCUCUCAUUAACCCUGGUUUCAAAAGCAAGAGGGCGCCAUCUGGAGUGAAUUUCGAGGACUCGUGAUGUUCUGUACCCCGA